rnacentral:rRNA from 1 species
UACAGAGGUCUCAAGCGUUGUUCGGAUUCAUUGGGCGUAAAGGGUGCGUAGGUGGUGACGCAAGUCUGGUGUGAAAUCUCGGAGCUCAACUCCGAAAUUGCACCGGAUACUGCGUGACUCGAGGACUGUAGAGGAGAUCGGAAUUCACGGUGUAGCAGUGAAAAUGCGUAGAUAUCGUGAGGAAGACCAGUUGCGAAGGCGGAUCUCUGGGCAGUUCCUGACACUGAGGCACGAAGGCCAGGGGAGCAAACGGG